UACGUAGGGGGCAAGCGUUGUCCGGAUUUAUUGGGCGUAAAGAGCGUGUAGGCGGCCAUACAGGUCCGUUGUGAAAACUGGAGGCUUAACCUCCAGACGUCGAUGGAAACCGUAUGGCUAGAGUCCGGAAGAGGAGACUGGAAUUUACGGUGUAGCGGUGAAAUUCGUAGAUAUCGUAAGGAAGACCAGUGGCGAAGGCGGGUCUCUGGACAGUUCCUGACGCUGAGGCACGAAGGCCAGGGGAGCAAACGGG
rnacentral:rRNA from 1 species